rnacentral:rRNA from 1 species
UCCUACGGGGGGCAGCAGUGGGGAAUUUUGGACAAUGGGCGCAAGCCUGAUCCAGCAAUGCCGCGUGCAGGAUGAAGGCCUUCGGGUUGUAAACUGCUUUUGUACGGAGCGAAAAGGUCUCUUCUAAUACAGGAGGCCCAUGACGGUACCGUAAGAAUAAGCACCGGCUAACUACGUGCCAGCAGCCGCGGUAAUACGUAGGGUGCAAGCGUUAAUCGGAAUUACUGGGCGUAAAGCGUGCGCAGGCGGUGUUGUAAGACAGAGGUGAAAUCCCCGGGCUCAACCUGGGAACUGCCUUUGUGACUGCAACGCUAGAGUACGGCAGAGGGGGAUGGAAUUCCGCGUGUAGCAGUGAAAUGCGUAGAUAUGCGGAGGAACACCGAUGGCGAAGGCAAUCCCCUGGGCCUGUACUGACGCUCAUGCACGAAAGCGUGGGGAGCAAACAGGAUUAGAUACCCUGGU